AGGCUCAUUGUCCUUUUGGGAUCUUAUCCAAUGAAGAUCUUCUGAUGAUAUAUGAAGUCUGAAAGUGAGAUCGCCGUUAAUUUCCAGUAAGACAGGGCUUUGCAACACUGCUCAGACUGGCUUUGCACUCACCUGGUAGUCCAGGUUGGCCUCAGACUCACAGAGAUCCUCCUGCCUCAGCCUCCUGAGACUAAACGCAUAUGCCACCAUGCCCAAUAGUGGGUCCUGAGAACACUGUCAUUAAGGGCUGAGAAGUGAAGAUACAUUAGAUAAGAAAAGAGCAGGCGAAGCCCUGAAGCCUUUUGAGAGUCUGCAGGAAUUCCUGGUCUUGGUUCUAAUCAUUAGAUAACCAGUUCUGCUGGAGGUAGGAAGUUGCUGUGGAAGCCAUUCUAGGUCUUCAGUAAUCAGCUGAUCCGGAGGGGAAUCAGAAGAUAUUUGUCAGACAGAAGGCCCUGAGAGGCAUAAAAUCCCUAAGGGGACAUUUAGCACAACUUGAAGAACUGCCACUGGAGUGU